rnacentral:RNase_P_RNA from 1 species
AAAAUAGGCAGGAUAGCCGCCCAUGGAGGCCCGAAAGCCGCCGGGGAGGAAAGUCCGAGCUCUAGAGGACAACGCAGCGGGUAAUAACCGCCUCCGUUACGUUGCGUAACGGACGGAUCAGAGCCACAGAGACGAGUCCCGCCACCAGUGCGUCGGCGGGGGUGAAACGCGGCAAUCUCUGCGUAGAGCAAUGCCAAAUAGGCCCCGACAUCCUGGAUAACAGGAAUAGGGUUGUCCGCCUGAACAUCGUGUGUCGGAGCGGGUUGGCUGCUAGAUCCCACCGAGCAAUCGGAGGGAGAAGUCAAAUGGCUAUCGCCCCCGCCGUUUUGUUCCGCUUUUGGUGAAACCAGGCGAACCAAAACGCGAAAGCGGGGGAGACAGAACUCGGCUUAUAUGCCUAUUUUGCCG